rnacentral:rRNA from 1 species
GAAGCAGCAACGCCGCGUGAGGGAUGAAGGCCUUCGGGUUGUAAACCUCUUCUCUCAGGGACGAUUAUGACGGUACCUGAGGAAUAAGCCACGGCUAACUACGUGCCAGCAGCCGCGGUAAUACGUAGGUGGCAAGCGUUGUCCGGAUUUACUGGGCGUAAAGAGCGCGCAGGCGGUCGUUUAAGUCGAAUGUGAAAGCCCCCGGCUCAAUUGGGGAGGGUCAUUCGAUACUGAUCGACUUGAAGGCAGGAGAGGGAAGUGGAAUUCCGGGUGUAGUGGUGAAAUGCGUAGAUAUCCGGAGGAACACCAGUGGCGAAGGCGACUUCCUGGCCUGUUCUUGACGCUGAGGCGCGAAAGCUGGGGGAGCAAACGGAAUUAGAUACCCCGGUAGUCCCAGCCGUAAACGAUGGACACUAGGUGUUGGUGGUAUCAACCCCGCCAGUGCCGUAGCUAACGCAUUAAGUGUCCCGCCUGGGGAGUACGGCCGCAAGGCUA